ACGCCCGUAGCUCAGCAGGAUAGAGCGGCGGUUUCCUAAACCGCAGGUCACAGGUUCGAGUCCUGUCGGGCGUA
rnacentral:tRNA from 1 species